GCCCCCAUGGUCUAGUGGUUAUGACGCUCGCCUUUCACGCGAGAGAUCGCGGGUUCGAGCCCCGCUGGGGGUA
rnacentral:tRNA from 1 species